AUCACAGACCCAGGCUGCUUAGCAAAUCCUGCUUGUAUACGGCCUUCUCUGUGCUCAAGUCUGUUUAGCCCUGAAUUUAGAAUGCACCAGGAUGGCUCAAAAGUUGCAAUAAACAAGCAGGUUCCAAGUAACAAGGGGUUUUGAUGGUCGGAAGCCUACACACCCAACAGGGAAUUCCUGUUUCUUCCUGUUUCUUCUACUGAAUGCAGUUUAUACAGAGUUAUUUGAGCUUCUUGCAUCAUGUACAACAGCCAUGAUAUACUGCUUUGCCACAGCUCAAAGACAACUGGACCAAGUGACUAUGGGUUAAACCUCUGAAAUUGUGAAGUAAAAUAAAU